UACGAAGGGGGCUAGCGUUGUUCGGAUUUACUGGGCGUAAAGGGCGCGUAGGCGAUUUGAAAAGUCUUGUGUGAAAGCCCCGAGCUUAACUCGGGAAGUGCACAAGAAACUGUUGAAUUUGAGUUCCGGAGAGGAAGGCAGAAUUCCCGGUGUAGCGGUGAAAUGCGUAGAUAUCGGGAGGAAUACCAGUGGCGAAGGCGGCCUUCUGGACGGAUACUGACGCUGAGGCGCGAAAGCCAGGGGAGCAAACGGG
rnacentral:rRNA from 1 species